CAGAUAAUUUGUGGGGAAAAAUGUGUACAUAUGCACAUGUGACAUGCUCCACAAAAAUGUGAAGAGUCUUACCUGGUUAUUCUUCACUACAAAUUAGUGUUGUGUAAAGUUCUGCUUCUCCUGAAUCUUUGAAGGAGUUUGGCCACCACAAGACCUGGAGAAAGGGAGAGAAAGAAGAAAUGGAGUAGACUCUGAAUAGAAGGAAUAGCCUCUCCUACUACUUUUUGAGCACUUUCCCAAAGGCCUUAGUGAAGCAACAGCUUUCACCUGAGAAGCGUGGAUGCCAGCUCCUUUUUGCAUCUGGUGGAAAGCUCCUCCUCCUCAGAACCAGAGAUGUGUCCUGUCUGUGCAGAUUGACCAGGUGGUUUUGGUUCACUGCUAUUCCAAAGAGUACAGAGAAGUCACACACAAAAAAGAACCAACCAAUCUGAAUUUUGCCUGGGCUUCCUGCAGGUUUUAGGCAGUUUUUCCAGUUGCAAGAUUCCAGUCUGGAAUCCUGAAGCAGUGGGUUGGAGCUGUCUUAAAAAUGUUUCCAAAAGAAGGAAAUGGAAAGCAAGUUGCUGUGGUUUAAUGUGGAGCUGAAAACUUGCAUACAUAUUUUAUUGAGUCUCCGGGUAUCCUGGCUGUGAACAAGCACAGGCUGAGUCACACAGAUGUGCACUUCAGAAAAGACUCUGAGGCUCCUCCUGGCCAGCUUAACUCCCGAGGUCUGAUUUAAUACUGAAACCAUCUCCUGCCCCUUUGAUGUGGGUUAAGCUCUUUUCAUCAUGCCUGUUUAGGAGUUGUUUAUUUUUCACUUAACCUUUCCCUUUGCAUUUGUUUAAUUAAAAGAUUUCUCGAGAAGUCACAUCACCACAGUGCCACAUUCCACCGCCUUUGUCAAGAUUAUAUAGAAGUGCUUCUCUAAUAAUUGUCCUGGGAUUUAGGAGAAUUCUGCAAACAGGUCACCUCCCUGCCUCCAAGUCUGUUUCCCAUAUUAAACAGAUUGCCACUCUGCCUGUAAUACCUUGGAAGUCUGGUUUAUCACACCACAAACAGGUACAGAACUGAAGAAAAUCUCUCUCAGCUGUUUACAUCAAUUGCUACUGUUAAUUUAUGAUCACUGUAUUAAAUCCAUUUAGUUUAGCAAAAAGACUGUAAAUUAAUGCUGUGAUUUGGGAACUUGCUGAAGUUAUUACUGCACAGCACCUUAUUAAAGCAUUAGAGCACUUCUAGCCUGUACAAAUAUACUGUGAUGCUCUGAUAGUCUCAGUGGUUUUUAACUGUGCUGCUGUAGCACUGUAAUAAAUUUCUUAAAGAGAAAA